rnacentral:rRNA from 1 species
AUUGAACGCUAGCGGGAUGCUUUACACAUGCAAGUCGAACGGCAGCGCGAGAAAGCUUGCUUUCUUGGCGGCGAGUGGCGAACGGGUGAGUAAUGUAUCGGAACGUGCCCAGUAGCGGGGGAUAACUGGCCGAAAGGUCAGCUAAUACCGCAUACGCCCUACGGGGGAAAGGGGGGGAUCGCAAGACCUCUCACUAUUGGAGCGGCCGAUAUCGGAUUAGCUAGUUGGUGGGGUAAAAGCCUACCAAGGCGACGAUCCGUAGCUGGUUUGAGAGGACGACCAGCCACACUGGGACUGAGACACGGCCCAGACUCCUACGGGAGGCAGCAGUGGGGAAUUUUGGACAAUGGGGGAAACCCUGAUCCAGCCAUCCCGCGUGUGCGAUGAAGGCUUUCGGGUUGUAAAGCACUUUUGGCAGGGAAGAAACAGCCUGGGCUAAUAUCCCGGGAGACUGACGGUACCUGCAGAAUAAGCACCGGCUAACUACGUG